rnacentral:rRNA from 1 species
GACGAACGCUGGCGGCGUGCUUAACACAUGCAAGUCGAACGGAAAGGCCCUGCUUUUGUGGGGUGCUCGAGUGGCGAACGGGUGAGUAACACGUGAGUAACCUGCCCUUGACUUUGGGAUAACUUCAGGAAACUGGGGCUAAUACCGGAUAGGAGCUCCUGCUGCAUGGUGGGGGUUGGAAAGUUUCGGCGGUGGGGGAUGGACUCGCGGCUUAUCAGCUUGUUGGUGGGGUAGUGGCUUACCAAGGCUUUGACGGGUAGCCGGCCUGAGAGGGUGACCGGCGAGAUUGGGACUGAGAUACGGCCCAGACUGGUACGGGAGGCAGCAGUGGGAAAUGUUGCGAAAUGGGCGGGAGCCUGCUGCGGCAGCGCGGCGGGGGGGAUGACGGGCGUCGGGUUGUAAGCCGCUGUCGCGUGUGACGCAGCGUGAGUGACGGUAAUGGGUGAAGAAGCGCGGGCUAUAUACGUG